rnacentral:rRNA from 1 species
AGUGAACGCUGGCGGCGUGCCUAAUACAUGCAAGUCGAACGCGAAAGUCCUUCGGGAUGAGUAAAGUGGCGCACGGGUGAGUAAUACAUGGGAACAUGCCCUUGGAUGGGGGAUAACGUUUGGAAACGAACGCUAAUACCGCAUAAUCUCGCGAGAGUAAAGGUGGCGCCGCAAGGGCUACCGUCCAAGGAUUGGCCCAUGUCCCAUUAGCUAGUUGGCGGGGUAAUGGCCCACCAAGGCAACGAUGGGUAACUGGUCUGAGAGGAUGAUCAGUCACACUGGAACUGAGACACGGUCCAGACUCCUACGGGAGGCAGCAGUAGGGAAUAUUGCACAAUGGGGGAAACCCUGAUGCAGCAACGCCGCGUGAGUGAAGAAGGCCCUUGGGUUGUAAAGCUCUUUAGCGUGGGAAGAAGGUAGAUAUGGUGAAUAAUCAUGUUUGCUGACGGUACCACGAGAAUAAGCACCGGCUAAUUUCGUGCCAGCCGCCGCAGUAAGAC